AAUGGCCUUACGUUUACAUAAGAGGAAAACGUUUUUCAGUACGCCUGAUGUUUCUCCGGUGGGGAAAAAGUCCAACAGAAAUGG